rnacentral:rRNA from 1 species
GAUGAACGCUGGCGGCGUGCCUAUUACAUGCAAGUCGAGCGAACCACUUCGGUGGUGAGCGGCGAACGGGUGAGUAACACGUAGGUGAUCUGCCCAUCAGACGGGGACAACGAUUGGAAACGAUCGCUAAUACCGGAUAGGACGAAAGUUUAAAGGUGCUUCUGGCACCGCUGAUGGAUGAGCCUGCGGCGCAUUAGCUAGUUGGUAGGGUAAAGGCCUACCAAGGCGACGGAUGCGUAGCCGACCUGAGAGGGUGAACGGCCACACUGGGACUGAGACACGGCCCAGACUCCUACGGGAGGCAGCAGUAGGGAAUCUUCGGCAAUGGGCGAAAGCCUGACCGAGCAACGCCGCGUGAAUGAUGAAGGCCUUCGGGUUGUAAAAUUCUGUUAUAAGGGAAGAACGACUUUAGUAGGAAAUGGCUAGAGUGUGACGGUACCUUAUGAGAAAGCCACGGCUAACUACGUG